rnacentral:rRNA from 1 species
ACUACGGGAGGCAGCAGUGGGGAAUAUUGGACAAUGGGGGGAACCCUGAUCCAGCGACGCCGCGUGAGUGAAGAAGUAUUUCGGUAUGUAAAGCUCUAUCAGCAGGGAAGAAAAUGACGGUACCUGACUAAGAAGCCCCGGCUAACUACGUGCCAGCAGCCGCGGGAAUACGAAGGGGGCAAGCGUUAUCCGGAUUUACUGGGUGUAAAGGGAGCGUAGACGGUUCAGCAAGUCUGAUGUUAAAGGUCGGGGCCCAACCCCGGGACUGCAUUGGAAACUGUUGAACUGGAGUACAGGAGAGGUAAGCGGAAUUCCUAGUGUAGCGGUGAAAUGCGUAGAUAUUAGGAGGAACACCAGUGGCGAAGGCGGCUUACUGGACUGUAACUGACGUUGAGGCUCGAAAGCGUGGGGAGCAAACAGGAUUAGAUACCCCUGUAGUC